rnacentral:rRNA from 1 species
UACGAAGGGUGCAAGCGUUAAUCGGAAUUACUGGGCGUAAAGCGUGCGUAGGUGGUCUUUUAAGUCCGUUGUGGAAGCCCUGGGCUCAACCUGGGAAUGGCAGUGGAUACUGGAAGGCUGGAGUACGGUAGAGGAGGGUGGAAUUCCCGGUGUAGCGGUGAAAUGCGUAGAGAUCGGGAGGAACAUCAGUGGCGAAGGCGGCCCUCUGGACCAGUACUGACGCUGAGGCACGAAAGCGUGGGGAGCAAACAGG